rnacentral:lncRNA from 1 species
AAUUAUACAACAAAAGUAUUUAAUUAUUAUUUACAAUAUAAAACUUCUCGGCGUCGUUUAAGAAUAAAAUUACAGGUUUUGGCACAUAAUCUUAUAAUAUCUUGAUUCGAAAAUAAAAAUACCAUUUUCUGACAAUCUGUUAAACUAUUAAAAUGUUCAUCAAUUUUAAGAGACUCAGUAAAAAGAACUUGUCUAAGAUCAUUAUAAACAGCACAAUGUAAAAUAACAUGAAAUUCAUCUUCGACAGUAUUAAAACAAUUAAAACAACAUCUCUCUUCCAGCGGCAAAUUUUCAUACCUCCCAGUUUCCAGUCUAAUAGGAGCCACCCCACAUCUAAAUUUUGCAAAAGCGCUUCUUUCACAAAAAGGCAUAACAGUUUGCAGUAGUUUUCUACAACAUACUCCUGCUUAAAAAUAUUAUAGGUUCUCAAUUUAUUCCGCCCAUUUCCCCGUCUGGAAGAGGAUGAACUAACAAUACUUUUCCAUUCUUCAAUAUAAAUAUCAAACAUUCUUGACAUGACUGUAUCAAUAAACAUAUUUUUAUUAAUAUUAGUGUUUGUAUUACAAAAGUCAACCAAUUCAAGUUCCGUGAAAUGUU